GGUAUAUUCGUUAAAGAAUAAUGCUCAUCAGAUAAAGUCUGGUUCACCGAUUACGAUCAAUCUGAAACAGGCUGGAGUUCCUAACGAUGCAACUGAAGUGAUCGUUUAUGCAACAUUUAGUUCUGGUCGUUGCCAAAAUCAUGAUGAUAGUGGAGAUCUAGUUGUGUCUUCAGAAACUAUCACUGGAUUGAUUGAAAGAAAGCUACGUUACCAUGUCUAUAAUCAGGCUGCUUGGUCGUUCAACUCUGAAAACAUGAAUGUGCCCAUUACACCUGGUAUGACUACAUCUCUUGAGGCUAAAUUGGUUGGUCCUGCGGUAAUAAAUGGAAAUUAUUCCGCAUCAGUUGAAAUCGUUGGUUAUGCUCGUACAUAAACUUGUUGAGUUUGUCACUCCUGCAGCUAUUUCUCGGUUAAGAGCAUAAGUAGAAUUUUAACUCAAAUGUAAACUUCAUUUUGACGAUUCUGUAAUUGUGAAAGAAUUUGAGAUAAAUUGUACCUUUUCAUGGU